rnacentral:rRNA from 1 species
UACGUAGGGUGCGAGCGUUGUCCGGAAUUAUUGGGCGUAAAGGGCUCGUAGGCGGUCUGUCACGUCGGGAGUGAAAACUCGGGGCUCAACCCCGAGCCUGCUUCCGAUACGGGCAGACUAGAGGUAUGCAGGGGAGAAUGGAAUUCCUGGUGUAGCGGUGAAAUGCGUAGAUAUCGGGAGGAACACCUGUGGCGAAAGCGGCGCACUGGACCAUAACUGACGCUGAGGCGCGAAAGCUAGGGGAGCAAACAGG